GACGAACGCUGGCGGCGUGCUUAACACAUGCAAGUCGAACGGGAAGGCCCUGCUUUUGUGGGGUGCUCGAGUGGCGAACGGGUGAGUAACACGUGAGUAACCUGCCCUUUGACUUUGGGAUAACUUCAGGAAACUGGGGCUAAUACCGGAUAGGAGCUCCUGCUGCAUGGUGGGGGUUGGAAAGUUUCGGCGGUUGGGGAUGGACUCGCGGCUUAUCAGCUUGUUGGUGGGGUAGUGGCUUACCAAGGCUUUGACGGGUAGCCGGCCUGAGAGGGUGACCGGCCACAUUGGGACUGAGAUACGGCCCAGACUCCUACGGGAGGCAGCAGUGGGGAAUAUUGCACAAUGGGCGGAAGCCUGAUGCAGCAACGCCGCGUGCGGGAUGACGGCCUUCGGGUUGUAAACCGCUUUCGCCUGUGACGAAGCGUGAGUGACGGUAAUGGGUAAAGAAGCACCGGCUAACUACGUG
rnacentral:rRNA from 1 species